rnacentral:rRNA from 1 species
AUGAACGCUAGCUACAGGCUUAACACAUGCAAGUCGAGGGGCAGCAUCAUCAAAGCUUGCUUUGAUGGAUGGCGACCGGCGCACGGGUGAGUAACACGUAUCCAACCUGCCGACAACACUGGGAUAGCCUUUCGAAAGAAAGAUUAAUACCGGAUGGCAUAGUUUUCCCGCAUGGGAUAAUUAUUAAAGAAUUUCGGUUGUCGAUGGGGAUGCGUUCCAUUAGGCAGUUGGCGGGGUAACGGCCCACCAAACCAACGAUGGAUAGGGGUUCUGAGAGGAAGGUCCCCCACAUUGGAACUGAGACACGGUCCAAACUCCUACGGGAGGCAGCAGUGAGGAAUAUUGGUCAAUGGACGAGAGUCUGAACCAGCCAAGUAGCGUGAAGGAUGACUGCCCUAUGGGUUGUAAACUUCUUUUAUACGGGAAUAAAGUUAGCCACGUGUGGCUUUUUGUAUGUACCGUAUGAAUAAGGAUCGGCUAACUCCGUGCCAGCAGCCGCGGUAAUACGGAGGAUCCGAGCGUUAUCCGGAUUUAUUGGGUUUAAAGGGAGCGUAGGCGGGUUGUUAAGUCAGUUGUGAAAGUUUGCGGCUCAACCGUAAAAUUGCAGUUGAUACUGGCGACCUUGAGUGCAACAGAGGUAGGCGGAAUUCGUGGUGUAGCGGUGAAAUGCUUAGAUAUCACGAAGAACUCCGAUUGCGAAGGCAGCUUACUGGAUUGUAACUGACGCUGAUGCUCGAAAGUGUGGGUAUCAAACAGGAUUAGAUACCCUGGUAGUCCACACAGUAAACGAUGAAUACUCGCUGUUGGCGAUAUACAGUCAGCGGCCAAGCGAAAGCAUUAAGUAUUCCACCUGGGGAGUACGCCGGCAACGGUGAAACUCAAAGGAAUUGACGGGGGCCCGCACAAGCGGAGGAACAUGUGGUUUAAUUCGAUGAUACGCGAGGAACCUUACCCGGGCUUAAAUUGCAACUGACGGAACCGGAAACGGUUCUUUCUUCGGACAGUUGUGAAGGUGCUGCAUGGUUGUCGUCAGCUCGUGCCGUGAGGUGUCGGCUUAAGUGCCAUAACGAGCGCAACCCUGAUCGAUAGUUACUCGCAGGUUAUCCUGAGGUACCCAUUCAGACGGCCGUCGUAAGAUGUGAGGAAGGUGGGGAUGACGUCAAAUCAGCACGGCCCUUACAUCCGGGGCUACACACGUGUUACAAUGGGGGGUACAGAAGGCAGCUACACGGCGACGUGGUGCUAAUCCCGAAAGCCUCUCUCAGUUCGGAUUGGAGUCUGCAACCCGACUCCAUGAAGCUGGAUUCGCUAGUAAUCGCGCAUCAGCCACGGCGCGGUGAAUACGUUCCCGGGCCUUGUACACACCGCCCGUCAAGCCAUGAAAGCCGGGGGUACCUGAAGUACGUAACCGCGAGGAGCGUCCUAGGGUAAAACUGGUGAUUGGGGCU